GUGAGGAAUAUUGCACAAUGGGCGAAAGCCUGAUGCAGCAACGCCGCGUGAGUGAUGAAGGCCUUUGGGUCGUAAAACUCUGUCCUUGGGGAAGAAAAAAAUGACGGUACCCUUGGAGGAAGCCCCGGCUAACUACGUGCCAGCAGCCGCGGUAAUACGUAGGGGGCAAGCGUUAUCCGGAAUUAUUGGGCGUAAAGAGUGCGUAGGUGGUUUUGUAAGCGUAGGGUGAAAGGCAGUAGCUCAACUAUUGUUAGCCCUGCGAACUGUGAGACUUGAGUGCAGGAGAGGAAAGUGGAAUUCCUAGUGUAGCGGUGAAAUGCGUAGAUAUUAGGAGGAACACCAGUGGCGAAGGCGACUUUCUGGACUGUAACUGACACUGAGGCACGAAAGCGUGGGUAGCAAACAGGAUUAGAAACCCCUGUAGUCC
rnacentral:rRNA from 1 species